UCUGCUCUGCAUUAAACGUAAUCCACAAGCCAGAGGUGCAACGAGGCCAAGCCCUACUUACUGCAUUCUCCCUCUGUUCUCCAGAGAUGAUGACUCUGCCCUGAUGCCAGGAUCCACAGAGGGCGGGCAAGGUUCCAUAGCUGAUGAAGCCGACGGCCGCCUCCUGGGCAGUGUGUGAUGAAGAGCACCCGACGUGUGGCGUGAGGCCAGCAUCCCCAGCGCCCUUUGGUCUGGAAAACAGCUACUUCCUGAGGGAAGCAUCACAGAUGUCUACAAGCAAAAACUUACAGCUGGUGGCCUUCCAUGAACUCCUCCAAGGUCCCUGCUUCUCCAAGAUGAUGUCUGCUGGACUUAAUUUGGAUCAAAGAAAUCCUGAAAAGAUAGAGAAGGAUGAGUGAGCUCGUGGUAUCAGUCCCACCCUGUUUCAGUUCAUCUCUUUCAACAUCAACUCAGCAGUGUGUGGAGGAUGGUAGGUGUCAGUCAUGGAGAGACGAUGUCACAGCCUCCAGCUGCGCCAAUCUUCCCUUAGCUCUCCAUGCCAUGAUGACCUUAAAGACACCAGAGCCACCAGGACCAGUUUCAUUGUCCUUGUUCAGUGGUUGCUUGCAACGCACCAGGCUUUUUGAUAGUUCACUGGUUCCCAAAGUUGUGAGUUUGUUCCAUCAAUUCUAGGAGGUUCUACAUUGGCAGUAGUUUUAACGAUGUGGCUAGAGCUGACCACAAACUUGGGCAAAUAUUGACAUUCCUUAAAGAUGUGAGGUGGUAUCAACCAAGUAUUGAUAAGAAAGUUUGCAGUGGGAGGGGGAAAAGUUGACAUAUAUUAAGCUUCUGUGUUCCAGGUAUUUACUGUCAUUUAAUCCCCACCAAUAUCAUCUCCAGCUGAUAAAUGUAGAAAGACUUUCAAAGAGGUUCAGCAAGCUCCCCAAGGCCAGAAAGACAGGAAACGGUCGAACUAAAAUUCCAAACCUAACUGCCAACCCACACACACCAGACGUCCCCAUGGCAGGCAAUGCUGGUUUCCUACCUAACCUCUCUUUCCUUCCUUGUUGAUAGAAUCCUGGUUGCAUUGAGGCAGCAGUGUGACCAGCUCCAGGUGGCCCCAGAGUUUAGUAGCAUCUACCAUCCUCUGAAAUCACCUCUAGCUACUGGACUGAUGCUUGAGCUGCAGCUCAGAAUCCGUUUCCUCAGAAACCAUCUUACACACAAUAGUCAGUAAGACUACCAUCACUGCAUCACCAGCCCACUUCUGUUCUAUGGGUUAAGACAACCCUUAGAGAUUAACCUGGGAUACCACCAUUUAUAGCAUAAUUUCUACUGGAAAAUGCAUUAAAAGAUCUAUACACCUGCUAUUCCCCUACCCCCCACUCCCCCCAAAAACAAAAAACAGCUUCCAGGAGACUUCGUGAUUCCUUUAUAAGGUUUAAGUUAAUUCAAAUUUCACAGGUCCAAAUCCAAAGCUGCUUUCCUAUUAACAACGCUUUACUUAUCAGGAAGAUCUAGGAGUAUCAAAAAUGCCAAAGGACAUUCCUGAAAAUAUACUUAAA